CGCUGAUGCAAAAAAAGUGUUAACAUUCAGAGAAGUCAGCUUUAGUUUUGUUUUGUAAUGUCCGCUGGCUAAAUUUAAAAGUCUUGUCCUCACACAGCUGUGCCCUCUGACACACAGGUGCAUUUGAUUUUAAACAUGGAGGUGACAUGAAUGUGACCUUUGUAUUGUAAUAGAAAGCCAAGGGGAAGAUGGAGGCAAAAACAAGAAGUGAGAAAUAAAAUAAAAUAACAAGUGGAAUGGGGGGGCUAGACUGAAAAACAAAUUUGUCAAAGUUCUCUGCAGCUGUCACUCCCAGAAUGUGUGUGUGUGUGUGUGUGUGUGUGUGUGUGUGUGUGUGUGUGUGUGUGUAUGUAUGUGUGUGUGGAAGUGAGAGAUGAGAUACAUAGAGGUGAGGUGCAUAAUGUUUUUAGUUACAUCCUGAGUUAACCUUUGAACCUGCACAUAUUAGCAAAAGGGGUCUCAGACCUUCUGUGUAAAUGCAACUCAGACGUAAUUAUAGGCUCAUAAAAAUAAUACCAUGAUGGUGGUGGAGAUAUUAUUUAGAGAAACAGUGUGCAAGUGAGGAAUUAGGUUUUAUACCGUAGCGGAAAAGAGCAGUGUAAUAAAGCACUCACACAUUUAAGUGUGUUCAGGUACAAUGUAGGCCCACACACACAAACACAAACACACACACACACACACACACACACACACACACACACACACACACUAAAAGUGUCUUUUAUUUCAGGGCUACUUUGUGCAUUUGUAGAUAGAAAACAGUGAAGAGUAACAGGAUGUAUGAUGAGAGAGAGGAGACAGCAUGUAACAAAGCUUAUUUAUUAUCUGGUAAUCCUUACUGUAAGACAAACACAACAUAAAACAUGUGCUAGUAAUGUCCCUUGUUUCUAGUGCAAAUACACACUUUUUUAGUGAAAAAAAAGCCUCAUUUGAAAGACAUAAUUUAAUAUAAGAAAAAUGUAAGUCAAACUCAGGUUAAUAAAAGUGACAUUUAGGAAAAGAAGAAUUUGGGAGACAAUAACUUGUAAAGAAGGAAAUUUUUGCAAUGCACACUGACUUCCUUUAACUGUCUCAAUGACCCACACAUGUAAACAUCAGCUAACAGGCACUCGUUAGACGCAUGAAGCUGCUGCCUUGUGUGUGUGAGUGUGAGUGAGUGAGUGAGUGAGUGAGUUAGUGACUGUGCCAAAGGCAAACCCAUGCCAGGGAAAGCAGGGCAGUGACAUCCUUCUCUCCCUGUGCUGUAUUCCCUAUCUCCAAAUCAAUAUCCGUGCUCAGUUUAGCAGUCAAGCCAAUCAGUCUUGCUAGCUAUGCUAUAACAAAACCACAACUGGGUUCUCUGUAGCAACUCGGAUCAAUUCUAAUGCAGGAUCUUGAUUCACUUUUUUUCCCAUAAGACUCACAAAUUAUUAGGCUGCAUUACACAACAGGAAAAGGGGCCAGGUUGAUAUAUAUUAUUACUGUGAAUGGCAUGACAUGACUACAUGUCGGCAGUCAUUAUCUAUCUCUAAAGAUGUUUUCAUGCAAUACGAUGAAGAUGCACAGCAGCUGACACAUUACUUGACUUGUAACCAGGAAAUCUACUAAUAUUUACAACAUAGUAGAGUUACCGCAAAAAACAAAACACAAACAGUGACAAACCCACAGAUAAUCAUCACCUACUGUAACUCAGCAGUUCCCCUCAGCUCUACGGAGCGUUUUACGGCCUUUUAGCUUGUUGUUUUAUUUUUACAGCCCACGACUUUACUGUUUUGGUUCACUCACAUCAAUGUGUAUCAUGACUCCAAAUGAAUGCUACAUAUCUGCUGAAUUAGUAAAAACUGUAGCUACUGUUUGCUAACACAUUUGCCAUUAGCUGCUUCCAAGUGGUGAAAAAAAUCAGUUAAUGCUGGUUUAAAACCACCAGAAGGAGCAGUUGUUUCCUAGCCACCUCUAUCUGCUCCUGAUGAUGGUUUUAAAGUAAAGCUUAAACUUGCAAAUAUGCCUUUCUCUAUUUUUGAGAUAACUCUACUAAAUAUUUAAAUCUAAUUUUUGACUUGUGGUUUAGUAUAUUUGUUGUCCAAGCAGCGACAGACACGGUACAGCCCAUUGAUGUCCUUUUACAGUAGGUUGAAAUCCACCACUUAAGUGUUACAGUUGUCAUUUUCAACAGCUAAAUUUAAAAGUGUGCAGAUAAAGCACAUACCGUAGUGUAGCUGUUUAUAUUUUUUUCCCAUAAUAUACAAGGUCACUGUAUUUAUUACUUAAUAAUCUCCAGUAUCAGCUGCUUUCAGAUGUUGAGCACUAUCACCAGUAUACUGUGCAAUAUUGUUUGAAGCAAAAACAUGAGGGAACGCUACACUAUGUAUUUUAGCUACCUUUUAUGCAAAUGAAAGAAAAGCAAAUUCAGCUUUUUGAAAAUUCUGAUCCGAGCACUUUAAAUGACAUUAGUUGUUAAUGCUGAAUGAACAUUAAACUGGAUUUAGAAGCUACUUGGUUUUAUAGUACCUUUUGAUUUAUUAUAUUCUUUCUUUUUUCCCAGUGUUUCUCACUUUGCAAAUGUAAUCGUAUUUUUCUAGGAAGCCAUGUGAGACAGCAAUAAAGGUUGAACCAAAAAAUCUGA